GGAAGAACGCAGCAGUAUCAGCGCACUCCAUCCCGGGGAUCUGAAUGCAUUGGUGGAGAGAACAGGGAAAUAAGAGUUCCAACCAGGUGGACUCUCAAUGUCUUGCAAGCGACACCUAGAAGCAGGUACAGGCAGGAGGCACAGCACCCUGCAACCUCCAGGGGCCUUUGUGCAAAUGUUCAUGUCCUAGAAGCACGUGGCGGAGCACGUCCUGGGAUCAAGGUGCCAUGGACUGGAAAAUGCAGCUCUGGACAUACAGGCUUGGCGGAGUUCCUGUGUGAAGACAAAACUCCCAGUACUCCAGAAACGUGGAGGCAGAAGAGCAGUGACAAGGUAUCUGUAUGUCUGUCAGUAUAUGUGCACAGCAGGCCCAGCUGCCCUGCCUCCUCCCUCCACCGGAUCUUCUCCUGCUCCUGGAGUCUCCUGUGGCAUUGGUGGCGUGGGGCAAGUUAUUUUGUCAAGCAGGAUCUGCCAUUCGUAAAUCCAUUCUGACUGGGCCCGAUCCCCUAGUUGACCUUUAAUUAAUCUCAACAUUAUCCUUUCCAUAAGCUAUCCUGGCCCUGAGGU
ensembl:lncRNA